ACGUGUGCGCAUGCGUCGUGUCCCUGUUAAACGGCGAAUAGGGCCCUGAGCAGACCGUGCCUUUAGUCCGGGGAAGCUCCGGGUUUAGGUGGGUCUCUCGGUUGGGCUUUCCCCCACCAAGGACCCCUUUUUCCCCUGCAGAAGCCACGUUUGCAGCACCACAUCCCCCGGAUGACCGUGCCCGCUGACUCACCGGAGGCUUCAUAACUCGCAGCAUCGGAGGUGAGCAGUGAAAGCACCGAAGGAAACAAAACAGGUAGAGAAGUGGAUGCAUGUUCGAUUCCUGCACUCCCCGCCUACAGACCUCAGAGCCCAGGCCAUGGCAGUAUUGCAAAGGGACAACAAACCCAUGGGUCCCUCCAGAAUGGACUGUAAAUGAAAUAUGUUCUAGUGUCUUUAAAGAAUAAAAUAGAAAUUUAUUUA